rnacentral:rRNA from 1 species
UACGUAAGGCCCGAGCGUUGUCCGGAUUUAUUGGGCGUAAAGGGAACGCAGGCGGUUAAGCAAGUUAGAAGUGAAAUCCUAUAGCUUAACUAUAGUAAGCUUUUGAAACUGUUCAACUUGAGGGAUGGAAGGGAGAGUGGAAUUCCUUGUGUAGCGGUGAAAUGCGCAGAUAUUUGGAGGAAUACCGGUGGCGAAGGCGGCUUUCUGGCCUUAAACUGACGCUGAGGUUCGAAAGCGUGGGUAGCAAACAGG